rnacentral:rRNA from 1 species
AGAGUUAAAUAGUACGUGAAAUUGUUGAAAGGGAAACGAUUGAAGUCAGUCAUGCCGGCGGGAAUCAACUUAGGGGAAACCUUGAGUGCACUUCUUCGCUUGGCAGGUCAGCGUCGAUUUUGGACGUCAUAAAAUGAUUGGGGGAAGGUAGCUCCUUCGGGAGUGUUAUAGCCCUUGGUAUAUGUGAUGUCUGGGAUCGAGGAUUGCAACGGAUACUCUUCGGGGCUAGCCGCCUGAUCUCUAAUCGAUGUUGGGUUACGGACAGCACGCUGACCGUGAUUUAAUUAUUGGUUAAAAGGUUAGAGCGUGCGUAAAUUCGUUAAGGACGCUGACGUAAUGGCUUUAAACGACC